AUGGCGGAGAACCUGAACUGCUUCCACACCGAGCUGCGGGUGAUCCAGUGGGAGCACAGGGAGCACACGGAGAGCCUCUCCUUGCUGAUCAGGCACCUGAGCCAGCUGGAGAAGCUCAGGACCUGCAAGACCGACCAGCAAUGCCAUCCCUGCGAGGGUCACCGGGAGCAGCCCAUGCCUCAAUUCCUGAGCAAGCUCCUGGAGCAGCUGCAGUGGGACUGCUGGGUUCAGGGGAGCAACAUGCAUUCCUGUCCAUCCCGGCCUGGGUGAGAGCAGCCACGCUGCCCACUGGCUGCUGGCACCCUGAGGGACCUGAGUGGUAGCCCUGCCUGUUUCCAGCAUAACGCCUCUGGCACAGUUACUGAUCCAGGAAAGGACCUACCUUCCUUAUCCCAUGCUCAAGACACUUUGGUGAGGAACCUUGUCAAAGGCUUUGUGAAAGUCCAGGUACACUAUAUCCACUGGAUCACCUUGACCAUAUGCUUGUUGAUCCCCUCCAAGAAUUCUAAUAGAUUGAUGAGAAGCGGACUGAAGGACAGUAAGGAAGGAAUGUGCCACCAGAGUUUGCCUGCUGCCCUGUGCCCUAGUGGGUAUUGAGAGGUAGAGAAACUAGGACAGUGGAUCCUUACAAUUUUCCCAGAGGGUCUGAUUGGAGCUGCAAAGAGGAAACCUCUGCCAGGCCGAUGACUAGAAAGCCAGGGGUUGGCACCAUGUCAGGGAUGAUGGCUGGCAAGUGACCAGGAUUCACUGAAUUCAGUCUGCUAGGUUGGAUCAUUAGCUUUCCAGCGGUUAGCCAAGUACUGAUAGUGGGCGUGACAUGAAUGCUGAUCCAAUGUGCCCCAGGUGGACCUCUGCACCUACGCAACACGCUUAGGAAGGACCUUGGAUCCAUUUUUAUAAUGGGAUGCUAAAUUAUAUUAUGCUGUUCAGUGAAAAGGUGGCAUAUGUGUAAAAUGCCUUAUUUAAAUGAAUCCCAGCCAUCCCUGCCGCAGCACUAAAGGAUAAAAUCUGAACUGGUGAAACAGCAAUACCUAGAGAAACUUUACAAACUUGAAAACCUGAAACUAGCUUAGGCCAUGUCUACCCUUACAAGCUUAGAGCUCUCCCAUCGACAUAAUAAAACCAGCUCAAUGAGCAGAGGUAGCUAUAUCAGCAGGAGAGUGUCUCCCGCCGACACAGUCCUAUGCACAUGAGCACUUAUGCUGGCAAAACUCAUGUCAUGCAGGGGUGUGUGGUUUGUUGGUUUUUUUUUUUCACACCGCUGAGCAACAAAAAUUUUGCCGACAUAAGUGCUAGUGAAGACAUGGCCUUAGAAACUGUAAACAGAGUUAAAAGUCAUUAUCAUAAAAGCCCCGAGGCAAGCAGGGAGAACUCCUAGGCUAAGAGGGACAAAUUCCAGCUGAUUUACAAAAAGUGUGGAAAAAGUCAUAUCCCAAGAGAUGAUGCAUGUCCAGCCAGAGGCACACAGUGUAAUAAAUGCAAGAAAGAUGAACAUUUUUUAACUGUUUGCCACACCAAAGCAGUCAGGGAGUUGACUCAUACUACAGACAAUCCAGAGCCAUUGUUUCUGGGAUCUAUCACUUGUGAUGACACAGAGCCUGUCUGAAGAGUGAAACUGAAUAUUCAUGGCAAGAUGAUUGACUUUAAAAUUGACUCAGGAGCUGAUGUCACAGUCAUCUCAAAAUCACCUUGAACUCCUUCCGCAGCUGAAGUUACCUGACACUACUCUGAUUAGCCCUGGAGGAAUUCUGAGCUGCUUGGGCUAAUUCACCACAGAAACAACUUACAAAGAUGAAAGCUAUGCAUUCAGAGUGCAUGUGAUCAAAGCCCAACAACCUUCUCAGCUGUAGUGUAGCAGCCAUGAUGGGCCUAGUGAGGAGGGUAGAAGAACUCAAUGAAGAAUUUAAUGAUAUUGGACUUUUGAAAGAAGAUCUCGUACAAAUUUAUGUAAAAGACAAUGCUGAACUAAACAGUGUAUGAACACCUCUACCAGAUGUAGUAUAGAGAGCGAGCCUGGAGCAAGAUCUGAACCAAAGGCUGUGAACCAGAGUAUGCCUGGCCUUGGCAAAAUAACACACUAGGUAUUUACAUAAAUUACAUCUUAGAUAAAUACAUUUCAGAAGGCUAGUACAGCUACAUCCCAAUCUAGACAGGAUAAGAUUUGACAGAAUAAUGAACAAGGAUGUUUUAUCUGACAUAUCAGGAACAAGGGGAGGUAACGAACAGAUAUCAUGAAGCAUGCCAGGAGGUACAUAAGUUGUUUAUCCUAAUUGUUUGGCUCAGUCUAUAAAUGUCAGAGUUCCUCGCCUUGAUCCUUUUCGUGGCCUACGAGACAGCAGAGACUCCAGCUGCAGACUGAAUUGCUCUCUGCCACUGGGCACUCAUGCAUUAGCGUACCUGUAACCAAGAAGCCAGGAUACUAGGACUGUGCCUUGAGAGCAAUAAACCUGGCGAGUGCCUUUGUUAGCAAACCGUGCCUGUUGUCUUAAUUGAGGUCUGCUGCAUUAGCAGGCUGCGUUAUCUGCUAGCACUGAUAAUACUGGAGCUCCAAGGACAGAAAGGCUCCCACAGUCCAGUUUGCAGAGCUGAGAUUUGCCCCUGGAUCCACAAAUCAAGUGAAUGCAUUUUCAUCGACUCUGAAGUCAGAAGAAAACGUUAGCCCUGGGCUCCACUACAAACU